rnacentral:pre_miRNA from 1 species
CCUUAUCACUUUUCCGGCCCAGCUUUGUGACUGUCCGUGUUGGACGGAGAACUGAUAAGGGUGGG